UGGAUUAAUGAUGGCCGCUAGUGCUGCAUGCAUAGUGGAUUGUGACUAUAAGUCUGGGAAGCUGAUAUUCAC
rfam:Mus musculus chromosome 12, GRC primary reference assembly.